UUUAGGACGAGUACUGCGAGUGAAAGGGAUGAGCCCAGCACCGAAGCCCCCGUCUUUCUAGGCGGUGGUGCAAUGUGGUGUAAGGGAAGGUCCGUUCCGUUGGAGUGCUUCGGUGUCUAAGUCCCCCUGACCGGGGCCGCGACCCGUGGAGGGUGCAAGGCCUGUUUGGCCCGGCAGUGCCUAGUCUCCGACGGUCGGUUCCUUUCCCAGGAGUCGGGUUGCUUGAGAGUGCAGCCCUAAGUGGGUGGUAAACUCCACCUAAGGCUAAAUACUUACCACGAGACCGAUAGCAAACAAGUACCGUGAGGGAAAGUUGCAAAGAACUUUGAAGAGAGAGUUCAAGAGUGCGUGAAACCGUUCGGAGGUAAACGGGUGGGACCUCGAAGGUCGAACGGAUGGGGAGGGAUUCAUCCUGUCGCCGCGGUGCCCAAGCUUGCGUGGUCGGACGGGGUUCUCUUCGGGGAGCCCCUUCCCCGUGUGGCAGUGGCGCACCGUGUGUGUGGCGGGUGCAUUUCCCGACUCCCCCCUUCCUAGUAGGACGCCGCGACCGGUCGGAACGCCCCUGUGUGCGGGGAGGCCAGAAGCGCGGCCAAUGGUUGAUGCUCGGGAGUGCUUUGGCGGUGCGGGCUCGUCCUGCGCCUGCUAGUCCCCGUCUGUCUGGCCAGGCCGCGAGGCGGUGCCUCUCACUCCGACCGAGGUAGUCCACGUGCGCCCUGAGGGGUCCCCUUGCGGGGCUCCAUGUUGGGGCGCCGGAUCGUACCCCGCACGUCCGCGUAGUCGGUCGAAUGCUCGGGCGGACAGAGUCCACCGGGUGGCGGCGGCCCGCCGGACGUCGAGAUCUUAUGGGUCUCCGCCCGUGCCGGGUGCGGCCGUCCACUGACAGCGAAGGACGCAGACUCCCGAAGGGGGUACUGGGGGUUCGGCGGCGAGUAGGUUGGCAUCCCACCCGACCCGUCUUGAAACACGGACCAAGGAGUCUAACACACAUGCGAGUCUUCGGGGGCCUGACAAACCCUAAGAAGGCGGAAUGAAAGUGAAGGCGGGUAAAACUGCCGAGGCGGGAUCUCGGAGGGUAAUGAAUCUCCGGGCGCACCGCCGGCCCGCCCCACGGUCGCCUUGUGCGAUCGGGCGGAGCAAGAG
rnacentral:rRNA from 1 species